AUCACAAUUUGGCUUUUUGUCCAAAACUCAUGAAUGUGGAUCUUCACAAAUACCAGAGAGAGAGAUUAGAAAGAGUGAAUCUGACCCCCAGAAUCAAGGCUGGUCUUUAUUUAGAGCUGGGAGACCUGGGGAGAGCAGAGGCAAAGGUGGGAACAUCAAGUCCUGAGGAGGAGACGUAAGCCAAGAGUCAACAUCAUUGAGGGUGAUUUGGAGUCUGAGACAAAGGUUGCACCAUGGGCUGAUAAAAGCUGACAAUUCCAGACACCUAAAAUAGCUCCUGACUGGGGAAAGGAAAGAAAAUCUGAAAUGCUUUUCUUCUCCAUGGAGGAUGGAGAUAUUUCUCUUCAUCCAAAAUGAAAUGAGUGGAACUUGGAAUGGCUACAUCACUCCCAGCCUGUAUUGGAGGAGCCAGACUGAAAGAACAUCAGCCUCAAAAAACCACUCGCAUAUUUGCAGAAAUCACUAUGUUGGUAGAUAUGUCAGCAACAAAUGGAGUUAGCUGAGUCAUGCCUGUGAUACAUAUCAAAGAUGCCUGGAUCUGAACUGGACAGAGGCAGAGUGCAGUAGUAAUAAAUCGAUUUUGGCCUUCAUUUUUGCUUCUCUGAAAGGAGACAUACAUUUGGUCCAUUGUUUACCUCCUUAAAAGAAAUAAAGUGUGGUCACAACUCAUCUGAGAACCUGCAAUCUAUUGCUAAGCCUAUUGCUAUUCUUUUUAAGAAAGAUGAAUCAGAGAGCUUUGAGGGGAAGAGGGGGCA
rnacentral:lncRNA from 1 species